GGGGAUGACAGGCUUCGACAGCGUGAUACUAGAGAGUGUGUGCUUCUGUCCGGGAUGGCAACGGUUCCCGAUACCCACAUGUUGCAAAAAUUAUCUGCCGACAAAUUUGCCGACAGCGUCAUUGGUAAGGCUAUUGCAAAGAUGAAUGUCUUCGCACCAGCUCUAGCUAUGGCAUAAGGUUUCCCUCUGUGAAACCGCGCUCCCUCUGGAUUCUCGCUAGAGAGUACGGGCGUUACCAGCGAGGCGUCUUGCGUAUCGGAUGUUGUACGCAACCACGUAUCCAGACAUCAUCCUCACCCAUCAUCUUUGUUCUUCUCUAAGAUGGCGUGAGUACCGAGAAGACCAUGACAGUACGGGCCUCCUUUCUACACGUUGGACCCGGGUUCAACUCCCGGCAUCUCCACCA
rnacentral:tmRNA from 1 species